AUUGAACGCUGGCGGCAUGCCUUACACAUGCAAGUCGAACGGCAGCACGGGGCAACCUGGUGGCGAGUGGCGAACGGGUGAGUAAUGCAUCGGAACGUACCUUUCAGUGGGGGAUAACGUAGCGAAAGUUACGCUAAUACCGCAUAUUCUGUGAGCAGGAAAGCAGGGGAUCGCAAGACCUUGCGCUGAUUGAGCGGCCGACGUCAGAUUAGCUAGUUGGUGAGGUAAAGGCUCACCAAGGCGACGAUCUGUAGCGGGUCUGAGAGGAUGAUCCGCCACACUGGAACUGAGACACGGUCCAGACUCCUACGGGAGGCAGCAGUGGGGAAUUUUGGACAAUGGGGGCAACCCUGAUCCAGCCAUGCCGCGUGAGUGAAGAAGGCCUUCGGGUUGUAAAGCUCUUUCGGUGGGGAAGAAAUUGCUUCGGCUAAUAUCCGGAGUAGAUGACGGUACCCGCAUAAGAAGCACCGGCUAACUACGUGCCAGCCGCCGCGGUAAAAC
rnacentral:rRNA from 1 species